rnacentral:rRNA from 1 species
GACGAACGCUGGCGGCGUGCUUAACACAUGCAAGUCGAACGGAAAGGCCCUGCUUUUGUGGGGUGCUCGAGUGGCGAACGGGUGAGUAACACGUGAGUAACCUGCCCUUGACUUUGGGAUAACUUCAGGAAACUGGGGCUAAUACCGGAUAGGAGCUCCUGCUGCAUGGUGGGGGUUGGAAAGUUUCGGCGGCUGGGGAUGGACUCGCGGCUUAUCAGCUUGUUGGUGGGGUAGUGGCUUACCAAGGCUUUGACGGGUAGCCGGCCUGAGAGGGUGACCGGCCACAUUGGGACUGAGAUACGGCCCAGACUCCUACGGGAGGCAGCAGUGGGGAAUAUCGCACAAUGGGCGGAAGCCUGAUGCAGCAACGCCGCGUGCGGGAUGACGGCCUUCGGGUUGUAAACCGCUUUCGCCUGUGACGAAGCGUGAGUGACGGUAAUGGGUAAAGAAGCACCGGCUAACUACGUG